UGAUGAGACAUCUCCGGAAUCGCUGUACGACAUUGAUGAUUCCCUCGAACCCAUUUAUGUCUGAUGACUGCGGCUGUUCUAU
ensembl:snoRNA